rnacentral:rRNA from 1 species
GACGGAGGAUGCAAGUGUUAUCCGGAAUCACUGGGCGUAAAGCGUCUGUAGGUGGUCAAAUAAGUCAACUGUUAAAUCUUGAGGCUCAACCUCAAAAUCGAAGUCGAAACUAUUAGACUAGAGUAUAGUAGGGGUAAAGGGAAUUUCCAGUGGAGCGGUGAAAUGCGUAGAUAUUGGAAAGAACACCGAUGGCGAAGGCACUUUACUGGGCUAUUACUAACACUCAGAGACGAAAGCUAGGGUAGCAAAUGGG